AGCACACAAGGCUUCCCAAACCCAGGCAGAGCAUCGUGGAUCGCAGACACGCUGACCAUGCAGUUGUGUGAUGGCAACAGAUGACUUGUCUCUUUGUGUCCCUUCCCCAAAAGUACUCAGUAACCUAACAGGCUUCUACCAGCCUCCAAAUAGAAGCAUCUUUUUUUCAAACCCUGAAGGGAUCAAGCAAGCCAGAGGGACAGCAUGCUAUCCCAGUGUCAUGGUGGAAGAACAAGGAACAGGACAUUCAAACAGUGGAUGACCAGGUCCCUACUUCCCAGGACUCGGCUUUCUUUGGAGGGAAGCUUAUCCAUGUUCCCCGAGGACCUACUACACACGUGAUUUCAGAGUGGACUGUUCAGUGUGGCUUGUCUGGGACUUAUAUUCUCAAUCUCAUCAUUGCCUUUCUGUGUCCAAAACCAAAGCAUCAGAGGUACAAGAAGGCAAAACUCCAUUUCCUCUGUGAGCACUGUUCCUGUUUGACUGAGGAAUCUGGCUAGAACAAGAAGAAAUAGGGCCAGAGUUGGGGCUAUGUAUGUAGAAAUUUUGGGUGGAUUUAAAGAAAUCAACGUCUUGGAUUUUGUCACAAGAAAAAUCACUUAGACACCCUACAGUUAUGGAUAAGAAACCAAAUGGAAUGCUUGAUUCAUUCUAUUAUGCUUUUAAGUAACUAUUACAAUGAAUGAUUCAUUAAUUACUAUGAAAGAGCAAGGUUUCAACAAAAACAAAUACGAAUAAAUUAAAUAAUUUCUAGCGAAACUUCAUUUGUUAUGGAAUAGCACCUAAUCUAACUUUUAUUUUGCUAAAUAAAAAAGAGUUUUGGUAUCUUAUUUCAGGUAUUGAAAUGCCUCGGGUCUUGCUCUGGACAAACACAUUGCCCUGGGACCGGCUGCUCACAGCAUUUUGGCUUUGACACGGCAGCUCUGACAUUAAAAAGCCCUUAACUAACCAUUUGCAACAUAUCAGAAAAAAGGUUAAUUUGCCUUUUACGCAUCCUUUACUCUGCUCUGUUGUAGAGGAGAAAAGACAGGACUCUGGUUCUCCUUUCAAAUCAGUUAUGCAUAGAAUAAAGGAAGAGCACAGACAGGCACGGUGGCUCACGCCUGUAAUCCCAGCACUUUGGGAGGCUGAGGCGGGUGGAUCACUUGAGGUCGGGAGUUCAAGACCAGCCUGACCAACAUGGAGAAACUCCGUCUCUACUAAAAAUACAAAAUUAGCCAGGCAUGGUGGCACAUGCCUGUAAUCCCAGCUACUCAGAAGGCUGAGGCAGGAGAAUCGCUUGAACCCAGGUGUCAGAGGUUGCGGUGAGCCAAGAUCGCGCCAUUGCACUCCAGCCUGGGCAACAAGAGCGAAACUCCGUUUCAAAAACAAAAAUAAAGGGAGAGCACUUGAUAGGAAGGCAGCAGACCUGCAUUGAAGUCCUAACCAGUAACAAGCUGUGCUACUCUCAGCAAGUCACUGUCCCACUCUGAGUCUCUAUUUCCUGAUCUGAAAAUAAGGACUUAGUGUAGGUGUCCUUCCCCGUGCCUUUGAUUUUCACAAUCACUCUCUGAAGCAUAUAGUUCAGGAGGUUUUAUUUGAAGCUGAAGAUACAGAAACCCACAGAUCAAGAGCCAGCAAACUACAGCCCAGGGGCCAAACCAGCCCACCUCCUGCUUUUGUACAGCCUGUGAGCUAAGAUGGUUUUCACAUUUUUAAAUGGUUAAAAUAAUUGGUUGGGCAUGGUGGCUCACGCCUGUAAUCCCAGCACUUUGGGAGGCCGAGGCGGAUGGAUCACUUGAGGUCAGGAGUUCGAGACCAGCCUGGCCAACAUGGUGAAACCCCAUCUCUACUAAAAAUACAAAAAUUAGCCGGCUGUGGUGGUGGGUGCCUGUAAUCCCAGCUACUCAGGGGGCUGAGGCAGGAGAAUCACUUGAACUUGGGAGGCGGAGGUUGCAGUGAGCCAAGAUCGUGUCAUUGCACUCCAGCCUGAGUGACAGAGAGAGACUCCAUCUCAAACCAAAAAGAAAAGAAAAGAAGAAAAAAAUCAAAAGAAGAAUGACA
ensembl:lncRNA novel transcript, antisense to UBASH3B